GGCGAAGUGGCGGAACUGGCAGACGCACCAGACUCAAAAUCUGGCGUUGUUCACUCAACGUGUGGGUUCGACCCCCACCUUCGCCA
rnacentral:tRNA from 1 species